rnacentral:misc_RNA from 1 species
GAUAAGAACGCAGCGAAAUGCGAUAAGUAAUGUGAAUUGCAGAAUUCAGUGAAUCAUCGAAUCUUUGAACGCACAUUGCGCCCUUUGGUAUUCCUUAGGGCAUGCCUGUUCGAGCGUCAUUUAAACCUUCAAGCUAAGCUUGGUGUUGGGUGACUGUCCGCUUCACUGCGGACUCGCCUCAAAAUUAUUGGCGGCCGGUACAUUGGCUUCGAGCGCAGCAGAAACGCGAACUCGGGCCCGUCGUAUUGGCUCCCAGAAGCUAUCUUCACAAUUUUGACCUCGGAUCAGGUAGGGAUACCCGCUGAACUUAAGCAUAUCAAUAAGCGGAGGA